rnacentral:rRNA from 1 species
UACGUAGGGGGCAAGCGUUGUCCGGAAUUAUUGGGCGUAAAGAGCGCGUAGGCGGUCCGAUAAGUCGGCUGUGAAAGUCCAGGGCUCAACCCUGGAAAGCCGGCCGAUACUGUCGGACUAGAGUCCGGAAGAGGCAAGUGGAAUUCCCGGUGUAGCAGUGAAAUGCGUAGAUAUCGGGAGGAACACCUGUGGCGAAAGCGGCGCACUGGACCACUUCUGACGCUGAGGCGCGAAAGCUAGGGGAGCAAACAGG